AACGCUAGCUACAGGCUUAACACAUGCAAGUCGAGGGGCAGCACGGGAGUAGCAAUACAACUGGUGGCGACCGGCGCACGGAUGAGUAACGCGUAUGCAACCUACCUAUCAGAGGGGAAUAACCCGGCGAAAGUCGGACUAAUACCGCAUAAAACAGGGGCACCGCAUGGUGAUAUUUGUUAAAGAGAUUCGCUGAUAGAUGGGCAUGCGUUCCAUUAGGUAGUUGGUGAGGUAACGGCUCACCAAGCCGACGAUGGAUAGGGGAACUGAGAGGUUGGUCCCCCACACUGGUACUGAGACACGGACCAGACUCCUACGGGAGGCAGCAGUGAGGAAUAUUGGUCAAUGGGCGGAAGCCUGAACCAGCCAAGUAGCGUGCAGGAUGACGGCCCUAUGGGUUGUAAACUGCUUUUAUACAGGAAUAAAGUUAGCCACGUGUGGUUAUUUGUAGGUACUGUAUGAAUAAGGACCGGCUAAUUCCGUGCCAGCAGCCGCGGUAAUACGGAAGGUCCAGGCGUUAUCCGGAUUUAUUGGGUUUAAAGGGAGCGUAGGCCGUCUGUUAAGCGUGUUGUGAAAUGUAGAUGCUCAACAUCUGAAUUGCAGCGCGAACUGGCAGACUUGAGUGUGCGCAACGUAGGCGGAAUUCGUGGUGUAGCGGUGAAAUGCUUAGAUAUCACGAAGAACUCCGAUUG
rnacentral:rRNA from 1 species